CACGUAGGGCGCGAGCGUUGUCCGGAAUUAUUGGGCGUAAAGAGCUCGUAGGCGGCCUGUUGCGUCCGCUGUGAAAGCCCGGGGCUUAACCCCGGGUCGGCAGUGGAUACGGGCAGGCUAGAGGUAGGCAGGGGAGAAUGGAAUUCCCGGUGUAGCGGUGAAAUGCGUAGAUAUCUGGAGGAACACCGGUGGCGAAGGCGGCAUCCUGGACCAUUACUGACACUGAAAAGCGAAAGCCAGGGGAGCAAACGGG
rnacentral:rRNA from 1 species